GAUUUCUUAUAUGGGUUGCUACGUGACUUGGCUCGUCCGAAUCAGGUGUACGCGAGGGCGAGGUAAACAACCAAACCAACCCUCUGCCUCCUCCCCUGCUCUCGCCGUCGCCCGCAGAACCCCACCCAAGCCCUCGCUCGCUCGCCGGGAUCCAAAGCGGCCGCGGCGGCCGGGAGCAGACGCGCGCGGGAGGAGUAGUUCGGGUCCGCGCCGCCGCCCUUUGCCUCGGCCACCACCGCCGUCCGCGCCGCCGCCCUUUGCCGUCGCCACCACCGCCGUCCCCGCCGCGGCCACCACCACCGUCCAAACUGCUCUCGGCCGUUGCCGGGGAUCCCGGACGCGCAGCAAAUCCGUCGCAAAGGAUCUCAAGGCCUGCCGCCCUGCCCGGCGCACCGAUCCAGAGGCACAUGUUCUCCACAGAUCCAUUGGAUCCCUUGCCGCCUCUCCUCCUCCUUUUUCAUCGCGGCUUGCCCUGGAUGCUAGAUUCUGCAAUUCCUCACCUGCAGUAUGGAAGUGCAUCUUCACCUGGGGCGCUAGCUGCUGAUGGCCACAGAUAACAGCGACGUGUACGAGGGCUACGUAGUGGUUGCAAUCUUGUAUUGGCAAGUGAACAAUUUAGUGUUCAUUGGCAACAAAAAGAAGUGAAUAAUAUCAUGCCAUAAUUUUGUGUUGCUUCCCAGGCCUGGGUAGAUGAUGUAUUGUACUUCCUCUGUUCCUAAAUAUAAGUCUUUUUAGAGAUUUCGAAUGGACUACCAUGUACGGAUGUAUAUAGACAUUUUAGAGCAUAGAUUCAUUCAUUUUGCUCCGUAUGUAGUCACUUGUUGAAAUCUCUAGAAAGACCUAUAUUUAGGAACAGAGGGACUACUUCUGCAUGGAAAUCUACAAAUUGAUUAUCUGCAUACUAUUUGAUUGUACUUCUCCAAGAUCUCAGCAUAUACCAUCUUAGUAACUUCUGAAACUUCCUGGUGGGACAUAAGUUCAGGAGUAUAAUUUAUCAUUGUACAAGCGCGUACUGAACCUUAAUAACAAUGGGAUUCUGUUAUUUCUUUUUCAAUUUACUUGCACUCGUAAAAAAUAUGGUGUAUAGAGCAGCACUGUUCGGUCUGCGCGGUCAUAUUAUUCUGAGUUUCAAGGAACAAAAAUGAUGUAUAUUUGGAGACGUAGGGGUUGAGGAACCUAAUGUUCUUGAAAAUUUUAAAUAUUGAAAUGGUUGUUUUGAUGCAGCGGAAGGCUUUUUCCUAAAGGGAUUGAGAUUACCAGGAUUCAGAUUGGAUCCCUGCUGUGUCAGUGCAGGAGAACUGCUCGAACACGUAGGCAUGACAUGACCGAUGCUGAUUACGCCCGAACUGCCCUCCUUUGACAUAAAAGAUUCCCGAGCCCCUCGACUGAAAUCCCGACUAAACUGCAAGUUUCCCUUCUUGAAAUUACUGCGUCUGAAGCUUCCAAUCUCGCCAACUUCGCCGGAGAACCGUGCGCCCGUGCUCGAGCAGAGGUACCAAUUUUCAGUACUGUUUUUAGGGGCUUCUACGUGAAUCCCAUGCAUGGCUUUGUGGCAUGCAAGACUUUCCUGCUAGACAAGCAAGAAAACAGAGCCAUCACGCUUGCCCUACUGUAGCAGCCUUCAAAGCACCACAUAACGUGGGCUCUCUCAAUGUCAGUUCAUUAGCUGAGCUGAUUUCACAUGCUAACAUCAUGUAAUCUUUUUUCUACAUUGCACAUUUAUCAGUUGGAUUACAUCGUAGACUGCAGUUCAGAUCAUUAUCAUGUAUGUUGCUCCUUUGAAAGUUAGACUUCAUAAAGAAGCAAUUUGAUCCGACCACAAUACCUCUGAAUAGAUGCCUCAUAGAUUUGUGGGUUCACCAUCUUGGAAGGUGCAAUUCUGGUGAUGGUGUCAUAAUUGAUAAAUAUGUACAUUGCUUCAUAUGUUGGAUAGUUUUGGCGGCCUUCUGUGUGAGGUAGACUUGACUGAUGAGGGCUUGAAAAGGGGCCUUGGUUGUCUGUCAACUGAAAACUCUGUUUGUGCACAACCUAUAUCCUCUAUGAGAAGGAACUGGAUGGAGCAAGGUCUACAUGCCUCAAAUUGCUUAAAGAUAUGCUAAGCACACUUGAUUUACCCAGUGGAGUAAACAAAAAUUGGGUCCAGAACUACUGCAUGCGUAAUGCAACACUUCUGUACUACCUCAAUGCGGGAGUGUGAAUUGUUGAUCCCACUAAGUCUGCAUUUGUUAAAACAUGGUGUUUUGGUAGGAGAUGACUGUCAACUCAUGCAAUGGUUAGAGCAAAGUAAGGUAUUGCCUCACCCUCUUUAUACUGUCUGAUUUCACUUACUCAUUGGUGCAUUUACUAAAAGAUAAACCUCUGAUACUAAAAUGCUAUUUUUUUUCUUGAGAAAAAUUGUAAUGGCCAUAUCUUUCCUUUAUGUUCCAUUGUUAUUUAUCUGUUUUUGAUAAUCUUAAUUCUUACUUUUCAUUGUUUAUCUCUAGGUAUGCAAAGAAGUUGGAUUUGCGACAAGUUUAUUUGGGAGAUUGGUUAUGCUCCAAUUUAAUAUACAUUUGCUGAACAUACAGUAUCACAUGAAUCCUUCUUCAGGUUAUUUCCAAAUGUCCAGUUUUAUGAGAGGAAGAUUAGCAUGGCGGCCAAGUUGAAGGUGCACUUCCACGCCGGCGGCCCGAGCUCGACGGCAAUCCGACGCAGGCAGCGUCCACCAACAGCUCCUCCUCCAAGGACGAGGUGGGCCACGCGCAAGAGACCUACGUGCAGAUUUGCUGUUUCAUGUCAUUUAUUUGCUUAUUUCCUGUUUGGUCUUAAUUCCAGUUUUUGUUUGUAAUAGUUGUUCAUGGGAUGAAAUUUCCAAAUCACGUUGGUUUGUUUGCAUACCCAAAUUGUAAUGAUUAUAUUUUAUUACUUUCCAUCGUGGAUAGAGAUGUAUUUGUCCUCA